GACGAACGCUGGCGGCGUGCUUAACACAUGCAAGUCGAGCGGAGCGGCGAACGGGUGAGUAACGCGUGAGUAACUGCCCCCCUCUCUGGGAUAACAGUUGGAAACGGCUGCUAAUACCGGAUAGUGGGGGAUGACUCGCGUCCUAUCCGCUUGUUGGUGUGGUAGUGGCCUACCAAGGCGACGGCGGGUAGCCGGCCUGAGAGGGCGACCGGCCCCAUUGGGUCGGAACACCGGCCAAACUCCUCCGGGAGGCAGUAGUGGGGAAUGUUGCACAAUGGGGGCAACCCUGAUGCAGCAACGCCGCGUGCGGGAUGACGGCCUUCGGGUUGUAACCCGCUUUCAGCCAUGACGCGGUAGUGGCAGAAGAAGCACCGGCUAACUACGUGCCAGCAGCCGCGGUAAUAC
rnacentral:rRNA from 1 species